GAGUUUGAUCCUGGCUCAGGAUGAACGCUGGCGGCGUGCUUAACACAUGCAAGUCGAACGAAGCGCCUUAUUUGAUUUUCUUCGGAACUGAAGAUUUGGUGACUGAGUGGCGGACGGGUGAGUAACGCGUGGGUAACCUGCCCUGUACAGGGGGAUAACAAUCAGAAAUGACUGCUAAUACCGCAUAAGACCACAGCACCGCAUGGUGCAGGGGUAAAAACUCCGGUGGUACAGGAUGGACCCGCGUCUGAUUAGCUGGUUGGUGAGGUAACGGCUCACCAAGGCGACGAUCAGUAGCCGGCUUGAGAGAGUGAACGGCCACAUUGGGACUGAGACACGGCCCAAACUCCUACGGGAGGCAGCAGUGGGGAAUAUUGCACAAUGGGGGAAACCCGUGAUGCGGCAACGCCGCGUGAGUGAAGAAGUAUUUCGGUAUGUAAAGCUCUAUCAGCAGGGAAGAAAGUGACGGUACCUGACUAAGAAGCCCCGGCUAACUACGUGCCAGCCGCCGCCGUAAC
rnacentral:rRNA from 1 species